AGCAGCCGCGGUAAUUCCAGCUCCAAUAGCGUAUAUUAAAGUUGCUGCAGUUAAAAAGCUCGUAGUUGAAUUUCGGGAUCAAUAUGUUGGUCGUGCCUUGGUACGUACUAGCUUAUUGAUUUCUUCCUUCUGAUGAACCAUGAUGUCAUUAAUUUGGUGUCAUGGGGAAUCAGGACUGUUACUUUGAAAAAUUUAGAGUGUUUAAAGCAGGCUAACGCUUGAAUACAUUAGCAUGGAAUAAUGAAAUAGGACGUUUGAUUCUAUUUUGUUGGUUUCUAGGAUCGACGUAAUGAUUAAUAGGGAUAGUUGGGGGCAUUAGUAUUCAAUUGUCAGAGGUGAAAUUCUUGGAUUUAUUGAAGACUAACUACUGCGAAAGCAUUUGCCAAGGAUGUUUUCAUUAAUCAAGAACGAAAGUUAGGGGAUCGAAGACGAUCAGAUACCGUCGUAGUC
rnacentral:rRNA from 1 species